UCAUCUGAAGAUCUGAACGCGUUUACCAUUAAGUAUAACAAGACAGACGAGUAACAUGGCCUGUGGCAAGAAAGUUCUCAUCUUUGUUACUUUGAUAGUUGGAUUGUUGGUGUUCGUAGAUAAGAGUUCUUCGACUAUGCCCGUGCCCGUGCCUGGACCUCCUUAUGGUAAAAGAAGCAGCAUCAGUAAGGAAGUCCGUCUUAACAUCUGCAAUGCAGCAAGACUCGUGCAAUGUUUGGCAAGCGAUGGGCUCCGAAUGGAUAUCGAUUAGCGAUGACACUUCGAUCUCCGAUCCGAUACAUCACGAUGUUUACCUUAAAAAUYACCAGGAGUUGAGAAAAACACUUUCAUCGCAACCUAUUGGUUAUUAGCGAUAUUGGAUAGACAUUAAGGAUAACAAGGAAACAUGUAAAAAAUACAUUAUUAGUUUGUGUUGAGUAACAUGGAAUCCAAUAAAAUGUUGAAAUACUUAUGAA